rnacentral:rRNA from 1 species
CCUACGGGAGGCAGCAGUGGGGAAUCUUCCACAAUGGGCGAAAGCCUGAUGCAGCAACGCCGCGUGGGUGAAGAAGGUCUUCGGAUCGUAAAACCCUGUUGUUAGAGAAGAAAGUGCGUGAGAGUAACUGUUCACGUUUCGACGGUAUCUGACCAGAAAGCCACGGCUAACUACGUGCCAGCAGCCGCGGUAAUACGUAGGUGGCAAGCGUUAUCCGGAUUUAUUGGGCGUAAAGGGAACGCAGGCGGUCUUUUAAGUCUGAGGUGAAAGCCUUCGGCUUAACGUGAGUAGUGCAUUGGAAACUGGGAGACUUGAGUGCAGAAGAGGAGAGUGGAAUUCCAGGUGUAGCGGUGAAAUGCGUAGAUAUAUGGAAGAACACCAGUGGCGAAGGCGGCUCUCUGGUCUGUAACUGACGCUGAGGUUCGAAAGCGUGGGUAGCAAACAGGAUUAGAUACCCCAGUAGUC